GGGCGCAUAGCUCAGCGGGAGAGCGCCCGCUUCACACGCGGGAGGUCCCUGGUUCGAUCCCAGGUGCGCCCAUCA
rnacentral:tRNA from 1 species